rnacentral:rRNA from 1 species
UAGCUAGUUGGUAGGGUAAGAGCCUACCAAGGCGACGAUCGGUAGCUGGUCUGAGAGGAUGGCCAGCCACACUGGAACUGAGACACGGUCCAGACUCCUACGGGAGGCAGCAGUGGGGAAUAUUGGACAAUGGGGGCAACCCUGAUCCAGCAAUGCCGCGUGUGUGAAGAAGGCCUGAGGGUUGUAAAGCACUUUCAGUGGGGAGGAGGGUAUUUAGGUUAAGAGCUAGGAUACUGGACGUUACCCACAGAAGAAGCACCGGCUAACUCCGUGCCAGCAGCCGCGGUAAUACGGAGGGUGCGAGCGUUAAUCGGAAUAACUGGGCGUAAAGGGUGCGUAGGUGGUUAGAUAAGUUAUCUGUGAAAUCCCCGGGCUCAACCUGGGCAGGUCAGAUAAGACUGUUUGACUCGAGUAUAGGAGAGGGUAGUGGAAUUUCCGGUGUAGCGGUGAAAUGCGUAGAGAUCGGAAGGAACACCAGUGGCGAAGGCGGCUACCUGGCCUGAUACUGACACUGAGGCACGAAAGCGUGGGGAGCAAACAGGAUUAGAUACCCUGGUAGUCCACGCUGUAAACGAUGUCAACUAGCCGUUGGUCAUAUGAAAAUGAUAAGUGGCGC